UACGUAGGGGGCAAGCGUUGUCCGGAAUCAUUGGGCGUAAAGAGCGUGUAGGCGGUUCGGUAAGUCCGCUGUAAAAGUCCAGGGCUCAACCCUGGAAAGCCGGUGGAAACUGUCGAACUAGAGUCCGGAAGAGGCGAGUGGAAUUCCUGGUGUAGCGGUGAAAUGCGCAGAUAUCAGGAGGAACACGAAUGGCGAAGGCAGGGCGCGGGGACGGUACUGACGCUGAGACGCGAAAGCGUGGGGAGCGAACAGG
rnacentral:rRNA from 1 species